GAUGGCUUCCCUGUGAUAGGCCGUCCAAUCGCUGUUAGAUGGUUCCACAGUAAAAAAUAUAUCUCCCGAAACAGCAGCCAGUCCCAGUGUAAAAAAAGUUCAGUUCUUUUUUUUUUUUGUGUUACAGUCGUCAUCUAUGCACAGCAGCCAGAAACAGCAGCCAGUCCCACAGUGUAAAAAAAGUUCAGUUCUUUUUUUUUUUUGUGUUACAGUCGUCAUCUAUGCACAGCAGCCAAUCCCAAAGUGUAAAGAAAGUUCAGUUCUUUUUUUUUUGUGUUACAGUCGUCAUCUAUGCACAGCAGCCAAUCCCAAAGUGUAAAGAAAGUUCAGUUCUUUUUUUUUUUGUGUUACAGUCGUCAUCUAUGCCUCCCAAAAAAAAAGAAAAAAAAUAAACCAAAGGGAUUAGAAGAAAAAGCUAACAAAUCAAGAGCAUGGACAGUAGAAAACAGGAACACAAGAAACCAAGACACAAGAAAACACCAAUAUAGCAGUGCGAGGCAAUAGGUAGUAGUAGAUGGGCUCGCACAGGAAGAUUUGUGUUACAGUCGUCAUCUUUGCCUCCCCAAAAAAAAAACCCAAACGAAUUAGAAGAAAAGGCGAACAAAUCAAGAGUAUGGAGAGUAGAAAACAGGGACAGCAGGAACCAAGACAUAAGAAAGCCCCCAAUACAGCAGUGCCAGGCAAUAGGUAGUAGUAGAUGGGUUCGCAUAGAAAGGCCGUCCAAUCUGUAGCAGAUGGUUGCCUUUGCAUGGAAUACCCAAGCAGCAUUUCCAAUUUUCAUGAGCAAACACCAGCUAGUGUAUAGGUUGCC
rnacentral:lncRNA from 1 species